GGGAAGGAAGUCGAGUUUGUGGUAGCUACAGACGGCAUUUCGUUUCGAGCAGUUGCGGAGUUAGCUGUUCAGCAAGUGAGUUACGUCAUCAUGUCUUCACAGCCAACUGCCCCUCUGGAAAACACCAGAAAACAGAAACCCAGAACACCAUUGCUCCACUUGAAAUCGUUCAGCACAGAUACUGAAGGUCCUUCCCCUUGUCCUACGCCGAAGGGUAACAUCUCAUGGAUGGAAAAACGUCAGAGCGUGUUGCAGUUGGUAAACCAACAUAAUAUUUCCCCGGCGUACAACCAUGUCCGCACGUCAUCGUACAUCUUCAAGCUGACACAGCUGAUUAGUACCAUAGUUUGCACGGGGUCGUACUCCAAAGGUGUGAACGGUGUCACAUCUUCCACUACCGAGCAAAUGUUACCAUACUUCGUCUGCUCAGCCUACAUGAUCAUAACACCCGUCAUUCUCAUAAGCUAUGUACUGGGUCACAGAAUGCCCGAAAUUCUGAUCCGAAUAUUUAAUACUCUGGCCGGGAUUCUGUUCCUGGUGGCUGGAACUGUUGCUCUUCAAAACUGGCGCAAAUUCAAACACGACAUGAAAGGAAAAGAAGAGGACGCCGAUAAGCAGACAGCAGCCGUGUUCUUGCUGACAACGGGUGCCCUCUGCCUCGUUAACUCAAUGCUGUACCUCACUGACGUAGCUGUCAGCGUACAUUUCACUUUGUCAUCACCAUAACUCACAAUCACAGUAGUUGCUUAAACCUUAAAAAAU